rnacentral:piRNA from 1 species
UGCCUUGAAGUACAGCGCUAGGUGAA